AUGCCCGAGAAAAUGGGGGCCGGCCCCGGUUGUCCUGUGGAGAACCUGUCUGAUUUGCAUUUGCUGCUUGUUGCUGCCCAAGGUUGUGCUGUGGAGAACCCACCUGAUUUGUGUUUGCUGCUUGUUGCUGGCCCGGGUUAUGCUGGGGAGAACCCGCCUGAUUUGUGUUUGCUGCUUGUUGCUGGCCUGAGUUAUGCUGUGGGGAACCUGCCUGAUUUGUGUUUGCUGCUUGUUGCAGGACCGGGUUAUGCUGGGGAGAACCCGCCUGAUUUGUGUUUGCUGCUUGUUGCUGGCCUAAGUUGUGCUGUGGAGAACCCACCUGAUUUGUAUUUUCUGCUUGUUCAACAUUGCAUAUAA
rnacentral:rRNA from 1 species